ensembl:lncRNA
ACAGAAGGCCGGACUGAGCUCGCGGUGCGGUACUUCCCUUCAGCUGUCCUUCUACACACAAUAGUAAGACAAGUAUAAGAAAAAUGGGAGAGCUAAAAAAUGUUUGCAAGAUUAUUGUGAGAACUCCCUUUGGUUCAGAAAGUAUGCCCGCUCUCUAUUCAAAGAAAGAAGAAAAGAAAGAGGAGGAGAAGAAUGAGAUUAAAAGGGGUCUGUUCAUUCAUUCUGCCUCAAAGUCACCAUGGAACAAGAGAGAGAACAGAGACUGUGAGAAGCCAAGCAUAGGAGAGACUGCCAACUGCUGUCCAUGUUUUGCUGGCCACAAGUCAGUCACCUGGCCUUACUCUACUUCCUGGAAAAUGUGGGUUGGCCAAGUAUCCAGCAGGAAAAUGAAACAUGUUUGAUGAUCACCUAGCUUUGCUUCUGCCUUGGAAGCAAAACAACUCUCUCUUUUGAGACGUAGACAUGGGCUGCCCUCUUUUUCCACUGCCCAAGAGCAAAUGAGCUUCACUGGCUUAGGGAGAGCAUGAGGUCUGUCUGUUUUAGAUGAUCAAAGCAAACUCAUGUUGGGAGGAGGGCUUAAUGAUGUGGUGAGGAAAGGUUGUUCUGCACUGUCUUGGUUAGAAACAUAAGGAUGCAAUAGAAUGAGACUUGGACUGGCCUCUAUCACUUGUUCAAAUCAAAAGACAAGGUCCAGGGGAAAUGUGUGUGUCAGAUUUUUCAAGGUCUGAAAAUGCACAGCUUUUGAAAGGCAAACAUCUUUCUCUGCCUGGAGACAGGGAACUGUUCCAGAUGCUCACCUAUAUUUUUUCUUUGUUUUUUUUUUUUUUUAGAUAUCCAUUUUUACAUCUUUAAUGUGCCUUAAAUUUAUUUUGGUACUUGUUAGCUGAUGAAAAGUAAUUUAAUUAAAUAACUUUGAAAA